rnacentral:rRNA from 1 species
UAGGAUGUGCUAGCGAUUGGAAAUGCUAGUCUAAGCAUUUAGGCAGUUAAAGUAGGCAAAUCCGCUUUAACAAUUCUGAGGUGUGAUGGGGAAGGUCAUUUUGACUGAAGUAUCUGAUUCCAUGCUUCCAAGAAAAGCAUCUAGAGAGAGAAGUAGUGCCCGUACCGCAAACCGACACAGGUAGAUGAGGAGAGAAUCCUAAGGCCGGCGGAAGAAUUGCAGUUAAGGAACUAGGCAAAUUGACCCCGUAAGUUCGCGAGAAGGGGUGCCUGUGAGAGCAGGCCGCAGAGAAUAGGCCCAAGCAACUGUUUAGCAAAAACACAGGUCUCUGCUAAAGCGUAAGCUGAUGUAUAGGGGCUGACGCCUGCCCGGUGCUGGAAGGUUAAGGGGAACACUUAGCGCAAGCGAAGGUGUGAACUUAAGCCCCAGUAAACGGCGGCCGUAACUAUAACGGUCCUAAGGUAGCGAAAUUCCUUGUCAGGUAAGUUCUGACCCGCACGAAAGGCGUAACGAUUUGGGCGCUGUCUCAGCUGUAGACUCGGUGAAGUCUUAGUACCUGUGAAGAUGCAGGUUACCCGCGACUAGACGGAAAGACCCCAUGGAGCUUUACUGUAGCUUGAUAUUGGACUUUGAUGCAGGAUGUACAGGAUAGGUAGGAGACUGAGAGACAUGCACGCCAGUGUGUGAGGAGUCGCUGUUGGGAUACUACUCUUCCUGUAUUGGAGUUCUAACCGGAUGCCAUAAGCUGGCAACGGGACAGUGUCAGGUGGGCAGUUUGACUGGGGCGGUCGCCUCCCAAAGAGUAACGGAGGCGCCCAAAGAUACCCUCAGCUUGGAUGGAAAUCAAGCGCAGAGUGCAAAGGCAAAAGGGUGUUUGACUGCGAGACCAACAAGUCGAGCAGGGACGAAAGUCGGGCUUAGUGAUCCGGCGGUGCUGAAUGGAAAGGCCGUCGCUCAACGGAUAAAAGCUACCCUGGGGAUAACAGGCUGAUCUCCCCCAAGAG